AAUCCUCAAAACCCUUUUCUUUGAAAAGGAUUUUUGGACUUGGAGGUUUAAUGCUCGCUUUCAAACGCGAAAGCGAGCUCCUCUCAAAAGAAUCAGUGGGGUCUGCUUUGCUGGUCCUUGACGUGAUAAGAUGUUUCUACGUUUUGGAUUUGGCAUAGUCCUUUGGAUGCCCCUGCUCCUAAUCGUCUCACGGACAACGAUGGUGCUUCGGUCACCGCCAUCUACAUUGGCGGGAGGCUGGACCCACAAAAUAAAAA
rnacentral:misc_RNA from 1 species